CCUACGGGUGGCUGCAGUGGGGGAUAUUGCACAAUGGGGGGAACCCUGAUGCAGCGACGCCGCGUGGGUGAAGGAGCGUUUCGGCGCGUAAAGCCCUAUCGGUAGGGAAGAAGAUGACGGUACCUGACCAAGAAGCCCCGGCUAACUACGUGCCAGCAGCCGCGGCAAUACGGAGGGGGCAAGCGUUAUCCGGAUUUACUGGGUGUAAAGGGGGCGCCGGCGGCAAUGCAAGCCAGGAGUGAAAGCCCGGGGCCCAACCCCGGGACUGCUCUUGGAACUGCAUGGCUGGAGUAGAGGAGGGGCAGGCGGAAUUCCUGGUGUAGCGGUGAAAUGCGUAGAUAUUAGGAAGAACACCGAUGGCGAAGGCAGCCUGCUGGACUGUGACUGACGUUGAGGCCCGAAGGCGUGGGAAGCGAACAGGAUUAGAUACCCUAGUAGUC
rnacentral:rRNA from 1 species